UACGUAGGGGGCAAGCGUUGUCCGGAAUCAUUGGGCGUAAAGAGCGUGUAGGCGGUUCGGUAAGUCGGCUGUGAAAGUCCAGGGCUCAACCCUGGGAUGCCGGUCGAUACUGCCGGACUAGAGUUCGGAAGAGGCGAGUGGAAUUCCCGGUGUAGCGGUGAAAUGCGUAGAGAUCGGCAGGAACACCCGUGGCGCAAGCGGCCACCUAGCCGUCGGCUGACGCUGAGGCGCGACAGCGUGGGGAGCGAACCGG
rnacentral:rRNA from 1 species